rnacentral:miRNA from 1 species
CAAUGCCCUUGGAAAUCCC